GCCCAGCCGCUGCGUUCCCCGACGGCCGCUGGGAGGACUGCCGAGUGACUGAGCCCAGGGCUGUGCAGUCGGACGCUGACGGCCGCGAGCGGGCGACGCCGGGCUUGCAGCGCCGAGCAGAAAGCAAAGCCAGCAGGGCAUCUUCUAGGAUUCCUAAUCUGAGGAGCCACUCCCGAAAACGCUGCUCUGGUCCCAGCCUGUCAUUGGACAGGGAGCUCCAGGACCGGCAGGAUGGGGUCAGCCUGUAUCAAAGUCACCAAAUACUUUCUCUUCCUCUUCAACUUGCUCUUCUUU